rnacentral:rRNA from 1 species
UACGUAGGUGGCAAGCGUUUGUCCGGAAUUAUUGGGCGUAAAGCGCGCGCAGGUGGUUCCUUAAGUCUGAUGUGAAAGCCCACGGCUCAACCGUGGAGGGUCAUUGGAAACUGGGGGAACUUGAGUGCAGAAGAGGAAAGUGGAAUUCCAAGUGUAGCGGUGAAAUGCGUAGAGAUUUGGAGGAACACCAGUGGCGAAGGCGACUUUCUGGUCUGUAACUGACACUGGAGGCGCGAAAGCGUGGGGAGCAAACAGG